AUUGAACGCUAGCGGCAGGCCUAACACAUGCAAGUCGAGCGAGCGGCGGACGGGUGAGUAAUGUAUGGGGACUGCCCGAUAGAGGGGGAUAACUACUGGAAACGGUAGCUAAUACCCCAUACUAUCCGAUAACCCAUCUGGGAUGAGCUAGUAGGUGAGGUAAUGGCUAACCUAGGCAACGAGCCCUAGAUGGUCUGAGAGGAUGAUCAGCCACACUGGGACGGAGACACGGCCCAGACUCCUACGGAGGAAGCAGUGGGGAAUAUUGCACAAUGGGCGCAAGCCUGAUGCAGCCAUGCCGCGUGUAUGAAGAAGGCCCUAGGGUUGUAAAGUACUUUCAGUCGGGAGGCGUUACCGACAGAAGAAGCACCGGCUAACUCCGUGCCAGCAGCCGCGGUAAUUC
rnacentral:rRNA from 1 species